GUGCUUGCUUGGGCAGCACAGAUGCUAAAAUUGGAACGAUACAGAGAAGAUUAGCAUGGCCCCUGCGCAAGUAUGACACACAGAUUCAUGAAGCUUCCAUAUUUUAA
ensembl:snRNA U6 U6 spliceosomal RNA